rnacentral:rRNA from 1 species
UACGAAGGGGGCUAGCGUUGUUCGGAAUUACUGGGCGUAAAGCGCGCGCAGGCGGCUAUCCAAGUCAGUGGUGAAAGCCCGGAGCUCAACUCCGGAACUGCCAUUGAAACUGUUUAGCUUGAGGACGAGAGAGGUGAGUGGAAUUCCCAGUGUAGAGGUGAAAUUCGUAGAUAUUGGGAAGAACGCCGGUGGCGAAGGCGGCUCACUGGCUCGUAUCUGACGCUCAGGCGCGACAGCGUGGGGAGCAAACAGG